CAUAUAUAUUACAUAGAGAUUUAUUGUUUGGAAGUUGAGUAAUUAGUCACAAACAAUUGAUAACUUGAAGCGUGUGGUCAUACAACAAACAGAACAAUAAAAUAUUAAAUUAUUGAACGUGAUUUUAAAAUGGAGUCAACACCAUUGUUUGAUCAGUUUCAAACAUAUUUAGAAAUUCCGGAAAUAGUUGUUAUACCAAAUGAUAAACCAUUUUAUAAUGGCUUAGAGAUGGGUGCCGUCAACAACCCAAUAUCAUUCAAUACUAUCUUGUUGUCA